rnacentral:lncRNA from 1 species
AAGCCCAGCGCACGGUACCCACUGGAUAUGCCCGAGGCCUCCAGAGGAAAGGAAAGGAGGAAAAGGGACAGAAGAAAUGUUCACAGGAACUGCAUAUGGGCCUGCUACUUGUGUCAAAAUGUGACUGAACUCUCUUCCAGCAGGUGUGGGGAAAAGAGUGACUUCACCUUAAAUGUUAACCUGCCAUGUAACUUCUGACUAAUCCCAGGUCCAGAAAUGCCUCCAAAUGUCUCGUUGCUGUAUUACUCUUUAUGUGGAAACACCUGUUCACUCUUACUCUGAGGGAGGUCUGAAUGCCAUAUUGUGAGCGGCCCUGCUGAAAGACCCAUGUGGCAAGGAUCUGAGAUCAUUGGCCAACAGGCUGCAAAGAGUCCUACCAACAGCCAGGCUGGUGUUCUUGGAAGUGGAUCUUCUCCUACUCUCCUACUUGAGAUGACUGCAGCCCCAGCUAACACUUCGAUUGCAGCCUUGUUAAGAUAUCACGGGCCAGACACACCCAGCUAAGUUAUGCCUGAGUUACUAGCCCACAGAAAUGAUAAGAUAAUAAAUAUUUGCUGUUUUAAGCUGCUAAGUUUUGGGUUAAUUUGUUAUACAACAAUGGAUAACUAAUACAAGUGCAGUCAUUGAUCUCAUUGAACACACCCGUAAUUCUUUGGAAAAAUGUCUACUUUCUCACCAAACUAAAAUCCAUUAAUUCCAGUAGUUAGGUGUUUGGCAAUGCCUUUAAAACGAUGCAUAGAAGUACAUGGCCAGGUCUUUAAAAUUGCGUUGCUAGACUGAAGAAGAGCUGUCUGACUUACUGGGCUUCCCACGUUCCUGCCUUCAGUUCCUGGGUUAGUGUCACAGGUUGCGGAUUUUCCACUCCAUCUCCCAGUCAUGUCUCUGGCACUUCCCCCGCUUGGCUCCUAGUAAUCAACUUUGGCUGACCUCUAACUCUCCACCUCCUGGACCACAAAAUAAACCCAAUGCUCUGAUCAUAGCUCCUCUGCAACUAUGUUUACUCCUUGGUUUGGGAUCUGCCCAGACUCUCAUUACGCCUGCCAUAGCAUUAUCCCUCUGUCCUGUACCUACGGAUGAAGCAAACCAUUGAUUUCUCCAACUAUGCUAAGUAAGAGCAAGUCAUAUUGUAAGUAAUUUAAUAAUAUAGAAUUUCUAGAGUUAUAAAAUAAUGAAGCAAUUUUAUAAAAACUAUCUUUUUAACAGGUUAAAAAAUAAAGCAAUGUCAUCAUUUCCAUUAAAUUUUGAACAAUAGAAGGCAAGCACUACUCAUUUCUAAAAAGAAAGCUUGCGCUUUUGAGGAUGAAAAGGUUUGAGUUAAUUGUAAACCAUGUAAUCAUAUGGUUAUUUUUUAGCUUUAAACUAAUAAAAUAAUGGUGCCUUCUUAUCACGGUAGGCAGUGCGUCAGUCUCAUAAACUAAUACAACAUUUUGCUCUACAAUACAUUUGAGGUGUUUUCUACAUCAAGAAUUUGCCUCACACUGACAAAAUAAUUGUGCAACAUAUAUUCGUUGAAAAGCUAUAAAAGACAGGACACUGGGCUGGGCUUUAUGAGAGCACAACAAAAAUGAAAUUAGAAAAGUUGGGGAGAAAUAUUUUUUAAAACUUUCCCUCCAAUUCCCAUCUCUCCCGUGAAAUAUGUUGGAAAAAUAUUUUUCUUCCUUGCUUAUAUGGCACCCGAACUGUCAAUCUCUGAAUACCAAAAAUUAAAAAUUUCUGGAAAAAAAUCAUUUUAUAUAACCUACUUUUGUUCUUCAAA